AGCAGCCCCAGAAUUCCAACCGAGCGCCCCUCCUGAGCCCUCUACCCCCAACGUGUUAACCCAUGGUCUCACAGAUCUCAGCUCCAAACUGCUGAAUCAUUUCAGCAGGUGCUGUGAACCUGUCUGCUCAUGAGAAAUAACUGUCAUCCCUCGAGCAAACCAUCAUUUCCUUACUUCCCACUGCUAAAUGUUCUGCUGCCCGCGAACAGACACUGAGGCAGAAACCCACUCCCCCUGGGAAACUGGAGGUUGAGCCAGCCAGCAUAGAAGGACCAAAAAAGGCUAAGAAGCUGUCCCGGAGGGCAGAGGUGGAUGCGUUCCACUCUAUCACCACCUAGUGGGAGUUUAGAAGAAUGCACGUUUUUUAAAAAGUGCUUUGCAAAGCGGCUGAAUGUCAAAAGUCUACUUGGUGAAGCUCCUCAGAGGAACUCCUCGUGGUGAUACAACAUUCUUGGAGCUGGGUUCUCAAAAAACUUGAAACUGGAACUUUUAUGAGACCCAGCUGUUGCACUUCUGGGCAUUUAUCUAAAGGAUUUAUAUCCUGGCAUAAAGAGACUUGCACAUCCAUGUUUAUGUCUGCUCUAUUCACAACAGCAGAGAAAUGGAAGCAGCCUCGACAUCUGUUCAACAACACACUAAAACUAGGGUAAACCUCAUAGUUCCAUCAUGGGAGGAUAUAUAUUUCACAGUAUAAACGUCUGCACAUUCGUGUUUAUUGCAGUACUAUUCCAACAGCAGUUAUGGUGGUGUCCGGUGGUAGGGAAACAGUACAGCUGUUACCAUCAACCUGGGAACUUCCCUUCCCGAGUGGAACUUCAGACAGUUGUUCCUGUAUUAGAAGCCAAGUCUGCUGUAAUAUUUCCCCUUGAAGGUGCAAUUGAUCAAAUCUAUACUCAAGGGAAAAUCAAAAGCCAAACACUGGGCAGACAACUCCUGGGGCUCAUGCUGCAGCACAACCCUGCCUGCUACGCCACUGAACUCAUUCAAAGUCUGCUCAGCCUGCCCUGCCAGGACCU